AGUUUGAUCCUGGCUCAGGAUGAACGCUAGCUACAGGCUUAACACAUGCAAGUCGAGGGGCAGCAUUUUAGUUUGCUUGCAAACUGAAGAUGGCGACCGGCGCACGGGUGAGUAACACGUAUCCAACCUGCCGAUAACUCCGGGAUAGCCUUUCGAAAGAAAGAUUAAUACCGGAUAGCAUACGAAUAUCGCAUGAUAUUUUUAUUAAAGAAUUUCGGUUAUCGAUGGGGAUGCGUUCCAUUAGUUUGUUGGCGGGGUAACGGCCCACCAAGACUACGAUGGAUAGGGGUUCUGAGAGGAAGGUCCCCCACAUUGGAACUGAGACACGGUCCAAACUCCUACGGGAGGCAGCAGUGAGGAAUAUUGGUCAAUGGGCGAGAGCCUGAACCAGCCAAGUAGCGUGAAGGAUGAAGGCUCUAUGGGUCGUAAACUUCUUUUAUAUGGGAAUAAAGUUUUCCACGUGUGGAAUUUUGUAUGUACCAUAUGAAUAAGGAUCGGCUAACUCCGUGCCAGCAGCCGCGGU
rnacentral:rRNA from 1 species